rnacentral:rRNA from 1 species
UGGGGAAUAUUGCGCAAUGGGGGGAACCCUGACGCAGCCAUGCCGCGUGAAUGAAGAAGGCCUUCGGGUUGUAAAGUUCUUUCGGUAUUGAGGAAGGUUGAUGUGUUAAUAGCACAUCAAAUUGACGUUAAAUACAGAAGAAGCACCGGCUAACUCCGUGCCAGCAGCCGCGGUAAUACGGAGGGUGCGAGCGUUAAUCGGAAUAACUGGGCGUAAAGGGCACGCAGGCGGUUAUUUAAGUGAGGUGUGAAAGCCCCGGGCUUAACCUGGGAAUUGCAUUUCAGACUGGGUAACUAGAGUACUUUUAGGGAGGGGUAGAAUUCCACGUGUAGCGGUGAAAUGCGUAGAGAUGUGGAGGAAUACCGAAGGCGAAGGCAGCCCCUUGGGAAUGUACUGACGCUCAUGUGCGAAAGCGUGGGGAGCAAACAGGAUUAGAUACCCUGGUAGUCCACGCUGUAAACGCUGUCGAUUUGGGGGUUGGGGUUUAACUCUGGCGCCCGUAGCUAACGUGAUNNUCGACCGCCUGGGGAGUACGGCCG